rnacentral:lncRNA from 10 species
GGCGCUGUGGCUCACGCCUGUAAUCCCAACACUUUGGGAGGCCGAGGCGAGUGGAUCACCUGAGGUCAGGAGUUCGCGACCAGCCUGACCCACAUGGUGAAACCCCGUCUCUACUAAAGUUAGCCAGACGUGGUGGCCGGCGCCUGUGAUCUCAGCUACUCGGGAGGCUGAGGCAGGAGAAUCGCUUGUACCCGGGAGGCGAGGUUGCAGUGAGCCGAGAUCGCGCCAUUGCAGUCCAGCCUGGGCGACAAGAGCGAAACUCCGUCUAAAAAAAAAAAAAAAAAAGUGUCACCUCCCCAUCUGC